rnacentral:lncRNA from 1 species
CCCAAUUCGCCUCUGAUAAAGCUCUUCACCCAGCUUUACAAAACUUCAACACACCUGAGCGGAGAUCCCUGUAGGUCAUCGCCUCGAACGCUGCGUUCCUUCCUAAGCCUUACAAAGCUUUAGCCAUCUCCCAAUGCGUCGUCCCCUGUGAGUCAGCACAUCAGUGGCAGAUGAGCUCUUUACCCAGCUUUACAAAACUUCGACGUACCUGACGCAGAGAUCCCUGUGGGUCAUCGUCUCGGAUGCUGCGUUCCCUCCUAAGCUUUACAAAACUUUAGUCAUCUCCCAACUCGUCGUCCCCUAUGGGUCAGUGCAUCGGUGGCAGAUGAGAUCUUCACCCAGCUUUACAAAGGUUUGGCGUGCCUGACGCGGAGCCCCCCAUGGGUCAUUGUCUCGGCUUGGCUUUCCCUCAGCUUUUUAAAGCUUUAGCCAUUUCCUAACGCGUGUUUUCCCAUGGGUCAGCGCCCCGAAAUCCGAACCAUGACCUACAACGCCUCAAUUACACUAAGUCUCAUACAGCAGGUGUUCGAAACAUCUACUGGAUCGCCCUUUCACAUUAGGACUUCAUCACAAUCCACAGCCCCUACUCUAAGCUCGGCAUACACAAUCGAAAAAAUAAGUCCACCCAUGAUAUGAAUAUUCAUGUCUAAACUUGGGAGGACCACUGUUACGCCCCUAAAUGAACCACUUCGAAUAAUCAGGCACACCAUUCCCCAAAGCGCUACGUCCCCUUUCGAAGUUGUUCCAAAGUAAUCCGACGACCCCCAUAUUGACAUUUUGCGAGGUGCAGCGUAGAUCCACUGAAUCAGCUGGAGUGCCCUCAUGCCGAAGAGUCUUCAACAAAUCCCUCCGUCGCCACUGUCAGAAAGAUAUCCGUUAGGAUCCUCUUUGCCUCCAAGGAUUAAUUGAUGUGACGUCUCCAUAAGUCUAGUUGAUGUAACGUAUCAACUUUAUGUCAACUCAACUCAGAAGAACUAAUUUCCCGCCCACUCUAGAUGCGACUGAUUGACCCCUAUGAGAGAGCGCCUCACACCGUCAGAUGCAUACACGUGUCACACAUCCAAC